AAAAAAUAUAUAUUAGUAAUUAAUUACUUAUUUAAGAUAUUCUUGUUAAACAGAAAUUUUUUUAAUUCAUAAAACUUGAUAAUUGUUGAGUAUUAAUAAGUUUAAUUUCAUUAAUUUGAUUUAUUUUGAAUGUUAAUUUGUUCUCAUUUGAUACGCGUUGUAACCGUUAACAUAAAAUUAAGGAACACUGGAUUUGGAACAUUCCUUUAAAUACGUUUGUAAUGGAACUUCAUUCAACGGAGCUGUCAAUAGAAUGUAAAAAGCGGUUAAUUUCCAGGUAGGACUCUUAAUAAUAAUUAAAGAUAUAAUAGACUAUUGUCCAAAAACUACAUAAUGGAGAUAGAGAAUUCGUGUCUGUUUAAUUAUAUAUUUAUCGGAAUAAUAUUUGAUAGCAUUUAUAGCAUAAUAAGCUACAUAUAGCACAAUUUUUGUGAUACGAUUAACAAUAACAUAAAUUAAAGGCUUUACAUACAUUGUAUACAAGAGUAUCAAAUGUCAUAUGUAAUAUCAAUAUAGAAGAUACGCGAAGGUUCGAACUUGCAGCCUUUAAUUUGUAUUGCUAAUCGCGCGUUAUAAAAUGUUCGCGCCCUUUCAGUCAUUGAAAUGACAGUGAGAAUACUUUUAAAUAUUUCUUAUAUUAUUUAAAAUUAUACACAUUUUAAUCAGACGUCACAUAUAUUGAGUUAUCGUGUUUUCCUACACGUUAAUUCCUUUUUUUGUGCUUGGAAAAUUCAACUUCCAGAAAAUUUUAUACAUUUCUCGAUUACUGUUCGCCCCCCUCCACUAUGUUUUCGAACCAUACAAAUAUGUAUAUAUGUAUUCGCGCGUAACUUCGAUUGAAUUUGAAAGAAACUCUUGGUGUCGGUAAUCUCAGUGUUAGCCUUUGACGCUUGUUGACGUACAUAGAUAUGUAUGUAUUUUAUUGUGUUCAAAGAGUAAGAGUGAGAGCAAUUAUUAAAUCUCUUACAAAUCAAGAAAAGGAAGUAAAAAUUUGAAGUGGCAAGAUUAUAUUUUAGAGGUUAAAAUAGAAGUGGAACAAUGUUAAUACUACUGAUGCUAUUCUCCAACUGAUGGUUCCUUAAGGUGCUGACGUUUUGGUGAUAAGACCUCGCUGCCGAGGUUUUCAAAGAUUCCAGCCAUAUGAGAGAGACGUAGAUUGCAAAUCUAGUGGAAUAUCUACUGUACAAGCUGAUAAAAAUAAAUUUCAUGUUACCCUGGA